rnacentral:tRNA from 1 species
GGAUUUGUAGCUCAUUGGUUGAGCGCUCGAAGCACAUUUGAGAGGUGGUGGUUCGAAUCCGCCCUAAUCCG